CUGUGAAGUCAAGACUAAUACCUUCUCUAUAUUUAUACCUUUCCUAAUUCAGGUGGCUUGAACAAGACAUUUGUACUGUGUUUUUGAGACUGGAUCUCUCUAUCUCCCUUGGGCAAGAAAGGCUACUCAUGGCAUACCUCUGUGAUAUUGCAGGUUCAAUUCUAAACCACCACAAUUAAGUGAAUAUCACAAUAAGAUGCUCUGCUAGAGGAAAUGAUUAUAGUACUACAACAACAAUGAAGAGAAAAGCAGCUGGGAUACAUGGAGACUUACAUGUCUGUGCUAGAGGCAAU